AUUGAACGCUGGCGGCAGGCCUAACGCAUGCAAGUCGAGCGGCAGCGGGAAAGUAGCUUGCUACUUUUGCCGGCGAGCGGCGGACGGGUGAGUAAUGCCUGGGAAAUUGCCCAGUCGAGGGGGAUAACAGUUGGAAACGACUGCUAAUACCGCAUACGCCCUACGGAGGAAAGCAGGGGACCUUCGGGCAUUGCGCGAUUGGAUAUGCCCAGGUGGGAUUAGCUAGUUGGUGAGGUUAUGGCUCACCAAGGCGACGAUCACUAGCUGGUCUGAGAGGAUGGACCGCGAGACUGGAGCAUAGACACGAUGCAGGCUACUGCGGGAGGCAGCAGGGGGGAAUAUUGCACAAUGGGGGAAACCGGGAUGCAGCCAUGCCGCGUGUGUGAAGAAGGCCUUCGGGUUGUAAAGCACUUUCAGCGAGGAGGAAAGGUGUUGUGUUAAUAGCACAGCAUUUUGACGUUACCUACAGAAGAAGCACCGGCUAACUCUGUGCCAGCCGCCGCAGUAACAC
rnacentral:rRNA from 1 species